UAAAAUGAUGAUACAACCACAAUGCUUGAAGAGUAACAUCGCUGUGAGCAUUAUGAUUUCUCAAUAGACUACAACGGUAUCUGAUA
rnacentral:snoRNA from 1 species